rnacentral:rRNA from 1 species
AGGUGUGACGUCACGCAUCA